rnacentral:rRNA from 1 species
UACGGAGGGUGCGAGCGUUGUCCGGAAUCACUGGGCGUAAAGGGCGCGUAGGUGGCAGAGUAAGCGUGCGGUGAAAGCUCGGGGCUCAACCCCGAGUCGGCCGUGCGAACUGCUCGGCUCGAGCAUUGUAGAGGCAGAUGGAAUUCCGGGUGUAGCGGUGGAAUGCGUAGAGAUCCGGAAGAACACCGGUGGCGAAGGCGGUCUGCUGGGCAAUGGCUGACACUGAGGCGCGACAGCGUGGGGAGCAAACAGG